rnacentral:lncRNA from 1 species
AAAUCAGUUCUGACUCUGGUUCAUCACAAUAUUGAUUUUUAAUAAAGUCUACAUUUUUCUUUUUUAUUUCAAAACUUAAUUGGAGAAGUUUUGAAAAAUCAGAGAGGUCUAAACAUGUUUGCAUCAUCUAUAAUCCUAAUAAUUAUCCCUGCCCCUUGUUAAUAUUUUGGUAUCUUUUAAAAUAUAUUUUUAUGAGUUCCCAUUAUGGCUCAGUGGAUUAAGGACCCAUUGACUCUAUGAAGAUGCAGGUUCAAUCCUUGGCCUUGUUCAGUGGCUUAAGUAUCCAGCUUUGCUGGAAGCUACAGCAUAGGUCACAGAUGCGGCUCAGAUCCCAUGUUGAUGUGACUGUGGCAUCAUCAGCCAUUUUCAUAUGCCACAGCUGUGGCCAAAAUAAAUAUAUACUUUUUUUAGUUGACACCACAAUUGAAGUAUUACUUUACAAACUACCUCUCAUCUGUUAAAAAAAAUUAGCAUUUCCAUGCCAUUAAAAAUUAUUCUACAAUGUUAUUUUAAUUGUUGCAUGGAUUUUUACAACACAGUAAUUUAUUUAACCAGUCUUAAAUCUUUGGUAAUUUAGAUUGUCUCCAACAGUUCACUAUUAUGAUUACUGUAACAUUAAACAUCUCUAAACAUAAUCUUUGGUUUCUGAUUAUUCCUUAGGAUAAAUUCCUAGAUAUGGAAACGUUGGUUGAGAGGCUAAAGCACUUUUAAGAGUUUUGAUGCUAUGGAAUAUUACUCAGCCAUAAAAAAGAAUGAAAUAAUGCUAUUUGCAGCAACAUGGAUGGACCUAGAAAUGAUCAUACUAAGUGAAGUUAGACAUGAAAGACAAAUAUCAUAUGCUAUUACAUAUAAGUGGAAUCUUAAAAAAAAAGGAUACAAUUGAAUUUAUUUGCAGAGCAGAAAGAGACUCACAGACUUUGAAAAACUUAUGACUACCAAAAGGGACAGGUGAGAGGGGAGGGAUGGACUGGGGGCUUGGGAUUGUCAUAUGCACGCUAUGGUACAUGAAAUGAUUGGCCAACAGGGACCUGCUAUACAGAACAGAGAACUCUACCCAAUAUUCUAUCAUAAUCUAUAUGGGAAAAGAAUCUGAGAGAGAAUAGAUGUGUGUACGUGUAUAACUGAAUCACUCUGUUACAUAGCAGACAUUAUCACAACAUUGUAAGUCAGCUAUACUUUAAUAAAACUUAAAAAAAAAAGUUUUGUACUGACACAUUGCCCUCUUGAAAGGCUACACCAAGGAGCAUUCCAACCCACAGUGUGUGAAGAUGGCUGUUUUCCUUCAACCCUACUGUCACCUACUGUCGCUAUACAUUAGCUAUACAUUAGCUGCACUUUGUUUAAUUGUUUUUAUUAUAAACCAUCUCCAAUUUGGGGGUGAAGGCCUUUAAUAAACUGACUUCUGAUAGCUUCCUCUCUGACUUCAGCUUUUCAGCGUCGCUCUUUUUUUGGUGUAGCCAUUCCUUACUGUUUGUGGGUCUAUGAAUAAGUAUGUAAUCAACAGAACAGUUGAUAUCCAAUCGGAGACUGGAUGUAUAUGUAUAUUUAAAUAUGACUGGAUUUUAGUCUUAUCUAGAGAAGACCUCAUAAAAUGCAAGUAUGAGCUCUCAAAGGCUUUGCCUCUGCUCAGCUCUGCCCUAUCACACCAAGGUGAAAAGUCCGCUCUAUCUGUAGACGUCUAUUCAAUUUCAUUUCCUUACAAGCACAGGUGGAAGGAGAAAGGAUGAAACAUCAUUAAUGAAGAUAAAUGAUGUUGGUGUUUAUAUAUGACGACUGUGAUAGUCUAUUGGCAAACACACUAGACUGUGGACAUUUGCAUUGUACAGUCAUGGUGAGAGCUGUUAUUUAUAUCAGGGGUCAGCAAAUUCUAGCCCAUGGACUAAGUCUAGCCACCCUUUGAUUUUGUAAAUGGAUGUUCAUUGGCUCAGUCACACCUGUUGAUUUGUCAAUCAAAUUGAUUUGUCAUCGUCUGUGGCUGUUCCCUUGCUACAACUUCAUAGUUGAGUUGUUUUGAUUCAGACUUUAUCCACAAAAACUAAAAUAUUGUCUGUAACUUUACAAAAAAAAAAAAAGUGUCCUGAUCCUUGACUUAUAUUCUACUUAAGAGCUUACAAAGAGUUUUCACCAGAAAGAUCCACUUUAGUCCUCACUGUCCCGUGACAGAAAGCUGGCCUUAUUACUCAUCCCAGUGUAUGGAUGUGUAAAUGGAUCUCUUCCAGGUUAAAUUGUUGUCCAAGAUCAUGCUUAGGUUCUGUGAGGAGGAGCUGGAUUUUUUUUUUCUUUUUAGAGCCACUCCCCUGUCAUGUGGAGGUUCCCAGGCUAGGUGUUGAAUCAGAGCUGUAGCUGCCUGCCUACACCACAGCCACAGCAAUGCCAGGUCUGAGCAGCAUCUGAAACCUACACCACAGCUCAUGGCACCACCAGAUCCUUAACCCACUAAGCGAGGUCAGGAAUCAAACCUGCGUCUUCACAGAUGCUAGUCAGAUUCAUUUCUGCUGAGCCAUGAUAGGAACUCCUGAAGUUUGAAUUUAGCUCUUUAUAUCUGAAAUCUGAUGUUUUAUACUUUUUAGAUGCAAAAGGCUACUAUAUUUGCCCCUUCUUUUGUCUUUUCUUACCAACCAAAUUCUCCCCAUAAGCUCCUUCCCUUUAGUAACUUGAGUGACGUGAUUGAUGCUGAUGAUGACAUAAGCAAGUAGACCCCAUCCUGUAUCACAUGUAUAUAGAUAUAAAAUAUGGAGGCCACCAGUUUUUGCUAAAUCGAGUACUAGGCAUAUAGAGAGUUGACAACACUAAAAAUAGAUGCCAGCUGAGUUAAUCUUUCUUCAGUGAUUCAGAAACUUGAGGCAUUUUCAGAAAUACCUGAGAGUCAUCAUAUGAGAAUCUAUUAAUUUAUCAUGUCCCAGAAUUACAGGUGUGGGAGAUUGUUCUGAAUCCCCACAGACCUUGCGAAGGCUCUGAAAAAUGACUUAGAAUAUAAUCCCCCUCUGUUGUAAAUUUAUUAAUAUUCCACUUGCUUUUCUCUCAGAAUGGCAGAAAAGGAAAAAUAAUGUGCACAUUUGAGUUUUUGAGAUGUUUGUAUCCUGAUAAGUAAAAAUGUACUGGAGAUUUCAUCAUAAACAUUAAAAUAAAACUCUUGGAGAAACACACAGAGAUCUGUACAUAAAUAAUAGCUGCUCAUGCCAACCAAUAUUUUUAAAACUCACUAUUAAAUUUGAACCUCAUGUUAGAUAUGGGGGAUUAAGCUAACGAUCAUAUUUACUUUAGUAAACUCUUAAAAAAAAAACCUAAUUCAAAGUUUGUUUCUGACCAACUACCUCCUUAAUCCCAUAGCACCUGCCAGAAGACAUCCAAUAACCCACUCUUUAGGUCAGAGAAAAACAUACAAAAGAGAAAGCCUUGGCUGGAAUGACUCAUGUUACAAGCCAGCUGCUUUCCAGAAUCCGUUAAGCUGUAGGGUCCAGAUCUCCUUUUGUGGCUUUCUACAGACUUUAUUUGAACAGAGAAAUUACAACAACCCUGCCCACAUAAAAGCCGAGGAAAGAAACUAGUUGGGGGAGAGAGAGUGCCCAAAUUUUUUACUAUACUUUGAAACAAAAUGGCAAGGGUGUUAGCAAGCAUUCUCUUUGCUUUGCAUUAAUAAAUGUUCCUCUGCUUUUGCUCACAAUUGAGAUGAUGAAACUUGGACAUGAUAGAUUCCAUUUGAUAAUCAGUAGAAAUGCUUUUCCUGAGUCAGUUGACUGUCAAGGGCCCUGAAACCUCAUCUGGCAUUUUUGGUUAAUGCAGUUUGACCAUCUAUCUUCCUUGGCUUCCUUUGACCAAUGCCAAGUUGUUAUGAGUUCUUUUCUGUUUCAAUCCAUUGAGGGAUCUACUUAACCCAACACAUGAACAUUUUUUUGACCAGUGAGAAGCAGUGUCUAGGUCAGACAUUGAUUUCCUCCCAAGUGACAACUCGCGAAUCAGUAGUCAUCAUCUCAGUACCUCAGACCUGGGGAAGGACGAGGAUUUUCAGCAGAAGAGUUGCCAAGCCAACUGGUUGUAUGUGCUGUAGCCAGGAAUGGCGGUGAGGCCUGAGAAAGUGAAGUAUUUCCACCAUUUCUGAACUAUACAGUAACCUAAGAUUGCUUCCUGGGUAGGACUCUGUGCAUGUGUGUACAUACAUGUGCGUGUGUGCGCAUGGGUGUGCAUGUGUGUGUGUGCACUCUAUUCAGGAUGGUGCGGCUUCCAUUUUUUCACCAUCUAGUCAAUAGAUGAUGAAUCAAUCAUCUAUUGAUUCCUUUAACAAAUUUUAUUGACCAUCACUUUCUACCUCUCUACCAGGAAGUAUUCCAGAGAUUGAGAGUGGAAAGAAAUCCAAGAUAAAUCAGAUAAAGACAUUCUCAUAAACAAAGCCUGUGCCUUUCUGUGACAAGUAUAGUAGGAAUGCACAAAAUACCUGAAUUGUGAGCGUUUGGGGCCUCUGCUUAUUUAAACAUUAACAUGGGAAAGAUGAUGAAAAGGAGAUGAAUGAGUAGAUUAAAUUUCUAGCAGUGGUUAUCAGCAUCCCCAAAUCUAUGGUAUUGAGUAUUUUUGCCUAAAACUGUUUUCUUAAAGUUUAUGGAGUCAUAAUGCCUUACUAUUGGCCUAAAUGUAGGGAGAAAAAAAGACUUGAAACCAGAACAUGCAAUAUGAUUUUCAUAUGCCCCAAAGCCAGAGUUGAAACAGAUUCCAACUUAAUAUCACCAAGCAAUAUUCAGGCUAUCCCAGACAAUUCUAACAUAGAAUCUCAUUCUUGACAUCAUCUCUUAAUGAAACUCUGUGAACACUCAUGAGAGAUUUCAUCUAGAAUAUUUAUCUGAGAGUGUGGUUUGGCUAACACAGCUUUAGCAUGCUGCUCCUUACGUAUGGGAGCAGCACACGCUCAUAUGCUCAUUUUUUGCAUGUGAGGAAAAUGAAACAUGGGAAUGUUAAACUAAUUUGGCCAUGGUUCACAUUUAGUUAGUGUCAAAUUUUUAAUCCAAUUUGGAAAAUAAGAACCUAGGGAAAGCCAUUCUUGAAGCAUUUAGCUUCUACUUUCUUUUUUAUUUAUUUUAUUUUUUAAAUUAAAGUUUGCUAAUUUACAGUGUUCCUUCCUGUUGCACAGCAAAGUGACCCAAUUACACACAGUUCCCUGUGCUGUACAGUAGGAUGCCAGUGCCCAUUGAUUCCAAAUGUAAUAGUUUGCAUCCACCAACCCCAAACUCCUCAUCCAUCCUACUCCUACCCCCUCCCCUUGCCAACCACAAGUCUGCUCUCCUUGGCUGUGAUCUGUUUCUAUUUUAUAGAUAGGAUCAUUUGUCCUAUAUUUUAGAUUAUUUGUGGGACAAAUGAUCCUAACUAGCUUCCAGGUUUUUUUACUCAGUAAGCUUCAUUCCGUCUAAGUCAGAAGAGCAGUGUGUUUCUGCUGUCGAUGUAGGCUGGAAGCAGAGUUGAGCAGAACCAGCUCUAAUCAGCCCAGGUGGCACUGCAUUUAGUGGAGAGUGUCCAUUGCCCUCCAGCUUGUCUAGACCAAUGGAAGGAUUGGUCUCCCUAAUUUUUUAGUAUUCAGGUCUCUUGUAUGCUGGCAUGUAAAUAUAUCACUUUCCAGGCAUGUAUUAAUACAAUGAAAUGUAAUUAAUGCUAACAUUGCAUUGAUCAGGACAUCAUUUUCCUUGAAGAAUCAGCCCAAGCUUCAUGGUCUUGCACCCCAAAAUCUUAUCACAGUGGUGAACAACACACAGUUGAUUUAUGCAAAAGUGUCACUUCUUCCCUGUGGAUUGACUGCUGGAUGGCAGUGAAGACACUGAGACAGUUUUAUUUCAGUCAUCAGCAUCACAACAAUUUCACAGGGCCAGUCUGGGUUUUUCAAAACAAGUGACCCAGGAGAGAAAUUUACCUUUACAUCGACUUUCACCAACAACUGUUUGUGAGACUUCAAGAAUAAAAUGCAUCAUGGAAAUAAAACGCAUCAUCUACCUAGAGGAGUUGGUCCAGAGUUAAAAGAUGCAGUAGGAUUUCCCUUCUGGUGGAUCGUAUUUCCCUUUGACGCGGUUCUAAAUUCUUUGGGGCCAACAGGGAGACCACCGAUAAUUGCCUGUAAUUCAACACACACACGACCAGCUCUCCAGAAAGCCAAGCAUCAGCUUCUCUAUUACAGUUAGGGGCCUCACAUUUGGGUUUGGUCUUUUCUUUUUCCCCUUGGAUCCAUGGCUCUUUUCAUGCAAGGUCCUGUUUGACAUCCUAAUAUAAGUGUAAUUUCAUCUUUCUCCAGAAACCUUCAUUUUCACGGCCUCUAAUGACCAUUCCAUAAUCAGUGUGGUUAGAGGAACUGAAUUCACCUCUAGGCACCUGUCAUGUUUGUAAUGAAGGAAGAGAAAGUGUAAGUGUUGGAAUAAAUGCUUUUUGAAGCACACCCUAGGCUCACUACUUUUGAAGUUUGAUCUCGAUAGUAAAUAUUCUUGGAGUGCACAUUCAACACAUAUUCUGACAUAGCAAAAUUAGAAAAUCUGCUUAGAAAGAGGUGCACAACCUAAUUUUUCCCCUUUUUAUCUUAAAUGCCUCUUCAGUCUGGCCCUUCCUCAUCUGUUCUCAAGGAAUUCUGCCAGGGCAUAGCUGAGAUAAAUCUGGCUGGAGAUCCCUCCAAAGAUUAUGCUAAACUCACCUUUGUCAUUGAUUCAGCUCAUCCUCAUGCACUGAGCAUCUUUCAAAGGACUGUUGGAAAUUGGGGCUCAUUGUCAUGGGAAGGGAAAGUCAGAAGAUGAAUAACUUAAAUAUUAAAGAAGUCUACCUCUAGUUGGGAAAGGAAAAAUCCACAUAUAUGAUGCUUUCAUGGGACCACUGUGAAUGCGCUAUUAUGGCGCCAUGAGGAAUUAGGAGGUAGAUCAGUUCUAUGGCUGGGAAAACUUUUGGCAAAUGUGGAUUUUUAACUUCACCCUUGAGUUCCAUAGAACUCCCCAAAGCAGAGGAGGCAGUGAAGAUGACUUUGACAACAAGAAGCAGCACAACUUAAAGACUUAGAAGUGAAAGGUACCGGGCAAGUUCAUGUAAAAGAACGUGAUCUAGUGGUGGUGGGGGCAGGGUAAGAGGGAGGAGCAGGGAGAAUAACAGGGAACCAAGCUGGAGCCAUAAAAUGGGGUUGGGCUCUCAGGGCUUUGAAUGUUGGAACGAAGAGCUUGGACACAAUGAAAGGCCAAGAACCUUUUUUAAGUUGAGGUCUGAAAUAGUUCUGGAUUGUAGCAAGACCUUGCCGACGUUGCUUGGAGAAUGUUCAGGAAGGGUUAGAGGAUCCGUUUGAAUGAUGUUGAAACAACAUCAUUAUAUUAUUAUAUUUGUAUCUAUAUUAAUAUGCAUUGUUAAAGAAGAAAAAUGCCUGAGCAGGGAGGUCCCUUCGUGACUCAGCGGUUAACAAACCUGACUAGGAUCCAUGAGGAUGCGAGUUCAAUCCCUGACCUCACUCUGUGGGUUAAGGAUCCGAUGUUGCCAUGAGCUGUGGUAUAGGUCGCAAACGCAGCAGCUUGAUCCUGAGUUGCUGUGGCUGUGAUGUAGGCUGGCAGCUGUAGCUCUGAUUUGACCCUGAGCCUGGGAACCUCCAUAUGCUGUGGGUGUGGCCCUAAAAAGCGGAAAAAAAAAAAAUGCCUGAACGAGGAUGGUGGUAGUAAUAAUCGAGAAAAGGUGUGACAGGAGUCCCGUCGUGGCUCAGUGGUUAGCGAAUCCGACUAGGAACCAUGAGGUUGGGGGUUUGAUCCCUGGCCUUGCUCAGUGGGUUAAGGAUCCGGCGUUGCCAUGAGCUGUGAUGUAGAUCACAGACGUGUCUCGGAUCCCAUGUUGUUGUGGCUCUGGCGUAGGCCGGUGGCUAUAGCUCCAAUUUGACCCCUAGCCUGGGAAGCUCCAUAUGCCGCGAGAGAAGCCCAAGAAAUUGCAAAAAGACAAAAAAAAAGAAAAAAAGAAAAA